CGGGUGAGUAACACGUGGGCAACCUUUCCUAUCGCGGGGGAUAACACCGGGAAACCGAUGCUAAUACCGCAUGUCGUCACUGGUCGCAUGGCUGGUGAAGAAAGCAGCAAUGCACGAUGGGGUGGGCCCGCGGCCUAUCAGCUAGUCGGUGGGGUAACGGCCUACCGAGGCGAUGACGGGUAGCUGGUCUGAGAGGACGGCCAGCCACACGGGGACUGAGACACGGCCCCG
rnacentral:rRNA from 1 species